rnacentral:rRNA from 1 species
CGACUAAGGCAUGCAAGUCAGGGGUUUAAAGCCCCGGCGAAAUGCUCAGUAACACGUCGAUAAUCUGACUUAUGGUCCGGGAUAACCUUGGGAAACUGAGGACAAGAUCGGAUAGGAGAAGAUUUCUGGAACGGAACUUCUCUGAAACUAGCGGCCAUAAGAUGAGUCGGCGGCAGAUUAGGUAGUUGGUGAGGUAACGGCUCACCAAGCCCAUGAUCUGUACGGGCCUUGAGAGAGGUAGCCCGGAGAAGGACACUGAGAUACUGGUCCUAGCCCUACGGGGUGCAGCAGCCGCGAAAACUUUACAAUACACGCAAGUGUGAUAAGGGAACUCCAAGUGCUCAUGCAAUGCAUGGGCUUUUGCCAAGUGUAGAUAGCUUGGCGAAUAAGUGGUGGGUAAGACGGGUGCCAGCAGCCGCGGUAACACCUGCGCCACGAGUGGCAGCCGAUAUUAUUGGGCCUAAAGCGUCCGUAGCUGGUUCUGUAAAUCUCUUGUGAAAUUGUUCAGCUCAACUGGACAGCGUGCAGGAGAGACUGCAGAGCUUGGAACCGGUAAGAGUCAGAAGUAUUUUUGGGGUAGCGGUAAAAUGUUAUAAUCCCAAAAAGACUACCUGUGGCGAAGGCGUCUGACUGGGACGGAUUCGACAGUGAGGGACGAAAGCCAGGGGAGCAAAAAGGAUUAGAUACCCUAGUAGUCCUGGCUGUAAACGCUGCGAGCAAGGUGUUGCAUAUUCUUCGGGAAUAUGCAGUAUCGAAACGAAGGUGUUAAGCUCGCCGCCUGGGAAGUAUGGUCGCAAGACUGAAACUUAAAGGAAUUGGCGGGGGAGCACCACAAGGGGUGCGGCGUGCGGUCUAAUCUAAUUCAACGCAGAGAAUCUCACCAGAAGCGACGGCAGGAUGAAGCUCAGAUUGAAUGUCUUAGCUAACGAGCCGAGAGGUAGUGCAUGGCCGCCGUCAGCUCGUGCCGUAAGGUGUCCAGUUAAGUCUGGCAACGAGCGAGACCUGUAUCCACAAUUGCUAACAGGCUCUACGGAGUGACUGAGUACAUUGUGGGGACUGCCUGGGAAACCAGGAGGAAGGCGCAGGCAACGGUAGGUCUGUAUGCUCCGAAUCUUCUGGGCUACACGCGCGCAACAAUGGUAGAGACAAUGAGAUGCGACUUCGAAAGAAGAAGCUAACCUCCAAACUCUAUCUUAGUCUAGAUCGAGGAUUGUAACUCAUCCUCGUGACAAUGGAAUCCCUAGUAAUCGUGUUUCAUCAUAGCACGGUGAAUAUGUCCCUGCUCCUUGCACACACCGCCCGUCAAACCAACCGAGCAGGGUUUAGGUAAGUAUCAGCUUUCUUGGCUUAUACGAAUCUAAACUCAGUGAGGUGGGUUAAGUCGUCACAAGGUA